CCAAAAUUUUCUAGUCUUAGUCAUAUGUACAAAUAUACACACGAAUGCUUAUGAAUAGGUCCUUACUACGAUUUCCUGUAUUCUCUGAACUGGCAAUAUUUACUAACAAGUGCUUCUCGGUAUGUGAGAAUGGAGCCAGAUCAAAAUUCAGCAGGUCUGAUUUGCUCAUCUGACGACCUAUGCCACAAGUCACAAACCAAGAGCCGCAGGUGUUAGGGUUACUUCAGAAAUCAUUUUCAUCCAAUUUACCUACUUCAUAUAUAGAAGCUGUGAUGUAGAGGUUUCAUAGCACUGUUUUAUAUAAGCUCUGAAAAAUAUCAGGUAUAUGUAACCAAGUCCUAUAUAUGAGACUGAUUUAAAAACACAACCAACUUGAACCUCACCUUCAUUUUUAGUAAAUGGCAAAAAUCUCCACUUCUAAAGUUGGGGGUACACCUACCCCUGCCAGCCCUGAUAAGUACUCUCCAUUUCCUCUACAAGUACCCAGCUUCUCCUGUUAUAGCAUGAUUAGCAUACACAUGCUGACGUGUUCCUGGAUUGCUUACUCUGGCAGAGUCACUCUAACUUCUGCUUUGCA
rnacentral:lncRNA from 1 species